GAUUAACGCUGGCGGCGUGCAUAACACAUGCAAGUCGAACGAGUGGCGGACGGGUGAGAAAUGUAUGGGGAUCUGCCCGAUAGAGGGGGAUAACUACUGGAAACGGUGGCUAAUACCGCAUACUAUCGGAUGAACCCAUAUGGGAUGAGCUAGUAGGUGGGGUAAAGGCCCACCUAGGCGACGAUAUCUAGCUGGACUGAGAGGAUGAUCAGCCACACUGGGACUGAGACACGGCCCAGACUCCUACGGGAGGCAGCAGUGGGGAAUAUUGCACAAUGGGCGCAAGCCUGAUGCAGCCAUGCCGCGUGUAUGAAGAAGGCCUUAGGGUUGUAAAGUACUUUCAGCGGGGAGGCGUUACCCGCAGAAGAAGCACCGGCUAACUCCGUGCCAGCCGCCGCGGUAAUUC
rnacentral:rRNA from 1 species